GCGGGGGUAGCAAAGCCUGGCCAAAUGCGUAGGACUUAAGAUCCUAUACCUUAGUGGUUUCGAGGGUUCGAAUCCCUUCCCCCGCA
rnacentral:tRNA from 1 species